rnacentral:rRNA from 1 species
AUGUGCAUAACUCCUGGUUCCUAUCAUUAUCAUGUCUCUAUUUCUCUUGUUCAAGAGAAGUGUGAAACAAAGCACUCAUAUUCACAGCAGCACGUACAGUUAUUCUAUGCUAUCAGAAAUAAGGUCGUUAAUAUUCAGAUAUAUGCAUGUAAACUUGGCCGGUUAAUCAUCAAACACACACACACACACACACACACACACACACACACACAAACACCAUGCUGGAAGGUGGUAUUCAUGGUUGAUAGAUGUCCCUAUAAGAUUGUACAUUGUUCCUCUGAUCCAUUGCGAGGUAUAUAA